UACGGAGGGUCCGAACGUUAUCCGGAAUCAUUGGGUUUAAAGGGUCCGUAGACGAGCGUCUAAGUCAAUAGUGAAAUUCUACAGCUCAACUGUAGAACUGCCAUUGAUACUAAUCGUCUUGAAUCGUUGUGAAAUGGCUAGAAUAUGUAGUGUAGCGAUGAAAUGCUUAGAUAUUACAUAGAAUACCGAUUGCGAAGACAGGUCACUAACAACGCAUUGACGCUGAUGGACGAAAGCAUGGAGAGCGAACAGG
rnacentral:rRNA from 1 species